CGUCUAUAUACGUAUAGCAUAUCAAUAAGCGGAGGAAAAGAAACUAACUAGGAUUCCCUCAGUAACGGCGAGUGAAGCGGGAAGAGCUCAAAUUUGAAAUCUUCAGGGUUCUACCUUGACGAAUUGUAGUUUAAAGAAGUGUUUUCUGUUGGAGUUUUGGUAAAAGUUCUUUGGAAUAGGACAUCAUAGAGGGUGAGAAUCCCGUAUUUGACCAUUAUUUCCAACUUUGUGAUACACUUUCAAAGAGUCGGAUUGUUUGGGAAUGCAGUCCAAAAUGGGUGGUAAAUUUCAUCUAAAGCUAAAUACUGGCGAGAGACCGAUAGCGAACAAGUACCGUGAGGGAAAGAUGAAAAGAACUUUGAAAAGAGAGUUAAACAGUACGUGAAAUUGUCAAAAGGGAAGCGUUUGACACCAGUGUUGUUUUCUCGAAAAUCAAUUAAAAAUGAUGGGAUUUUGUGUUGUAUUGACUUUAUCAGCUUUCUGCACUCUUUUCUUGUCUUUUUUAAUGCACUUUUCGUUUAACAAGUCAACAUCAAUUUCUUUUGUUGUAAAAGGGUCAUUGGAAGGUGGCUUUCUUUUCGGAGAAAGUGUUUAUAGCCUUUGACUUCUGCAAUCGGAGAGAUUGAGGUCUGCAGCGUAGAUCCUUCGGGGUUAGAUGACAUUUGUGCUAAGUUAUAGCCUUUCAUAGACAACUUGUUGACUAUGAUCAGUCAUGUAGCUUACUCGCUUAUGCUAUUUUACCUACGCUUAGGAUGUUGAUCUGUAGUGCGUGCGC
rnacentral:rRNA from 1 species